UACGGAGGGAGCUAGCGUUGUUCGGAAUUACUGGGCGUAAAGCGCACGUAGGCGGCUUUGUAAGUUAGAGGUGAAAGCCCGGGGCUCAACUCCGGAAUUGCCUUUAAAACUGCAUCGCUAGAAUUGUGGAGAGGUAAGUGGAAUUCCGAGUGUAGAGGUGAAAUUCGUAGAUAUUCGGAAGAACACCAGUGGCGAAGGCGACUUACUGGACACAUAUUGACGCUGAGGUGCGAAAGCGUGGGGAGCGAACAGG
rnacentral:rRNA from 1 species